AGCCGCAAGAAAGAACACAGAGGGCCAGCUCUGAAGGAACACUCAGUCAUCCAACCCUUCUUUCCACUUUCCUUCCCGCCUUCAUAACUCACAGAAGAUGAAAAAGAGAAAAGCAAGCACACAACCAGGUGUUGGCAGGGAGAGGACAGACUGCACUGCCGGCCACAGUUGCCCCUGACCUUCACUAUACUAUAAAAGACAUCCCUCGACUACCUCAACCAUGCACCUGCACAACUCAAGCCCCCGCUGGUAAUAAAACUACCUGUCCCACUGGGUCCUAUUUACCAGAUUUGUUUAGCCUCUGAGGCAAGAUAUCUUACUUCAUAGACUGGAUAAGGCCAAACCGAGCCAGCAGCAGAUCACAGUACAGCUCCAGGAUCUCCAUGGCCUCCACGAGGUAGUCCUCCCGGAUAAUGUGCUCCACACGGAUGCGGGCUCGCUCAUCCUUCCCAGCAGCCAGAUAGUCAGCAAUCUCCUUCCUCGCUUUCUGAGCCAGUUCCGCUGGAACACAAACCCCAUUCCAGUCACACAGCAGUGAUACACUGGGACCUGGCCACUAGGCAGACCUCCACCCAACAGACAAGACUGAGAGACUCAUGCUGCAAUCCACAGUAACCUAGCUCAUACUCCUGACACAUCUACCUCAUCAUAACUGCUCUAGAAUUCCCCACCCUACAGAGAUGAAACUAUGAUAUAGGCUGACAUUUCCAACUCAGAAGCCAUAGUGAAGAAGGAUACUUAACUAUCCCACAAUAGUUGCUAAGAAUCCAAGAAGGAUUGGUUCCCGGAUACCUAUGGAUACUACAAUCAGAAGGCUCAAGUGCCUGGGACGUAUAAAAUGGUACAGAAUGUGCAGAUUCUUAUGCUUAGCCUCCUAUAUACUUUAAACCACAUCUAGAUUACUUAUACAGCAUAAUAUAAAUGCUAUGUAAAUGGCUGUUACAAUGUAUUAUUUCGGAAUAAUGACAAGAAGUUUGUACAUACUCAAUACAUAUGCAUUUUUCUCUCUAAAUAUUUCUGAUCAGCAUUUGUUUGAAUGCACAGACGUGGAACCCAUGGCUGCAGAGAUUACAAAUACAGAGGGGUCAACAUUACACACCCUUCUGUGAUGGUUUGAAAGGAAAUGGCCUCCAAACAGAGUGAUGCUAUUAGGAGGUGUGGCCUUGCUGAAGGAAGUGAGUCACUAUGGAGGCAGGCUCUGAGGUCUCAUAUUCUCAAGCCAUGCCUAGUGAGACAGACCACCUCCUACUGCCUAUCAAGAAGUAGGACUCUCAGCUGUCUCUCCAGCACCAUGUCUGCUCACACUGCCAUGUCUCUCCAUGAUGACAAUGGACGGAACCUCUGAACUUUAACCACCCAAUUAAACACUUUUCUUCAUAAGAGUUGCUGUGGUCAUGGUGUUUCUUCACUGCAAUAGAAACCCUAACUCUGCAACAAAGUGUUUCAAUUUAACUAUAUACAAGAGGCAGACAUGUAUCCUAAAUGCAAAGCUAUGAGAAAGACUCCAUAGUACUAGCCUGAAAGAUCCAGCUUGGGAUGCUGGUAGCUGGUUUUAAAAAAAAUAAUAAAAGUAGGGGUGGGUGUGGAGGAGGGGAGACACAACAGGACACAGUACUCACUUUUCUUUUUCUCCAACAGUUUAAGACGAUUUAUGACUAAUCUCAAAUUGACUCGUAAGCGCUCAGCUUUGAAGCCGGAGCCCAGCAUGCUGUCCUGCUCCUCCUGGAAAAAGUAGCAGCACCAUGAAGAGUCCAGAUUAGUUCAGGAAACAGUACUACUUAGAGGUGGACUAGUAACAUAAACCAGAGUGGCUUCCUUCCUUUUUUCUUUUUAGUGCUGGGAAUUGAAGCAGGACCAUGCACACACUAAGCACAUCUCUACCACUCAGCGAUCCCCUGCCCCUAGGGUUUUUCUAAUACAAUGACAUGAUCUAAA